ACUCCCUCAGAAUCGCACCUGGAGAGUUUUCAGUAUUCUGUCAGUCUCAACUUCGGGAGGGAGAGUCAAGCAGAGACAUACCCUUUCCAUUUCUAGCUUGGACAGUUGCUAGUGAGUGGAAGGCAAUCUGCUACAAGU